CAAACCACAGAAACGGACGUCCCAGUUCGGAUUGCAGCCUGCAACUCGGCUGCAUGAAGCUGGAAUCGCUAGUAAUCGCGGAUCAGAAUGCCGCGGUGAAUACGUUCCCGGGUCUUGUACACACCGCCCGUCACACCAUGGGAGUCGGGAAUGCCCGAAGUCAGUGACCCAACCGAAAGGGGGAGCUGCCGAAGGCAGGCCUGGUAACUGGGGUGAAGUCGUAACAAGGUAAC
rnacentral:rRNA from 1 species